AUGGAUCCCAUCUUCCUCGCAGCGGCGGCGACGACAUGGGUGCUGAACAAGCUGCUCGACCACCUCAAAGACGCUGCCAUCCAAGCACUGCUGGGGUCGGAAGGUUUCAACAAGGAUGUGAAGCAUCUCGUCCACGAGCUGAGUCGAGCCAACCUCGUCCUUGGCUCCGUGACCGCCGGAGCCACCUCGGGGGUCAUGAUCGGGAACCAGGAGCUGGCGCGGCAGAUCACGGAGGUCCAGGAACAGGCGGUCAAGCUGGCCAAGUACCUCGACAAGCUCCGGUACUAUGAUCUGGAGGAAAAGAUACAAAAGAUGAAACUGAAGGGCCGCAAUCAGUUUACAUCAACAAUGAAAUCUAUGACUCAAUCCAAGGGGAAAUUGACAAGUUUUGAAAUCAAAGACAUAGGAAAUACUGUGGAGAAGCUGCAUAAGAUCUGUGACAAUGUUCACGCUGCUCUCUUGAUUGAGAAACAUGAUAAACUGCUUGCAGCAAUUCAAAACACAAGCACAAACAUAGGCGCGGCAGUAGAAUUCUUCACUGAAUCCAAGUUGUUCCCGAGGAAGGAGGAGGCUGAUGUUCUAAAACUAAUUAGUGCAAGUAAAUUCAGUGAUCAAGAGCUUCUGGUUCUGCCAAUAGUUGGUCAUGGAGGUGUUGGGAAGACCACACUUGCUCGACUGGUGUACCAUAACCCGCAAGUGGGAGCUGACUUCGCCAUCAAGAUCUGGGUCCAUGUAUCUGCUAAUUUUGAUGAAAUCAAGCUCGCACAAGGGAUUCUUGAAGAAAUAGCACCUGCCUCGGAGUACGCAAACAUCAAACAUCUCAAUGGGCUUCAACGUGUGAUCAACAAAUACUUGCACAAGAAAACAUAUUUGCUUGUUUUGGAUGACAUGUGGGAAGAGAGCGAGGCUCGCUGGGACAAACUGUUGGCUCCACUUAGAUGUACAGAUUCCAAGGGUAAUGUGAUUUUGAUGACAACGCGGAAGUUCUCUGUUGCCAAUAUAACAAGCAAAGUGGAGGGACAUAUCAAGUUAGGUGGUAUGAAUGAUGAAACAUUUUGGCCCUUCUUCAAAAGAUGCAUAUUUCGUGAUGAGAAUUAUCAAGGAAACAAUAAGCUUCAAGGAAUCGGGAAAGAGAUAGCCAUCAAGCUGAAAGGAAAUCCUUUAGCGGCUAAAAGUGUAGCCACACUUUUGAGGAGAAACCUUACUGAAGUUUACUGGAAACGUAUUUUAAAAAGUGAUGAAUGGAAGUUAUCAAAUACAGUGGAUGACAUCAUACCAGCACUAAAGCUCAGUUACAAUCACCUCCCCUAUCACCUUCAGCAGCUAUUCUCAUAUUGUGCUAUGUUUCCAAAAGGUUACAGAUUUGAGAAGGAGCAGUUGAUACGUAUGUGGAUUGCUCUUGGUUUUGUCAUGGACGAGAGAAAGAAAUUAGAAGAUGCCGGAAGUGACAACUUUGAUGAUUUGAUAGACCGGAGCUUCUUUCAGAAAGAUGAACAGCACUUCAUCGUGCAUGAUUUAAUGCAUGAUGUAGCCCAAGAAGUUUCAGUGCAUGAAUGCCUUCUUGUUGAUGGCUCAGAUUCUCUGAAGGUCUUCACAUCCAUUCGUCAUGUGGGCAUCUGGACUGAGUCGGUCUACAAGGAUGAAAUUAUAGGACAUCAUAAAACCUUUGAAAAAAAGUUGGAUGAAAUUGAGAAAAAAGAUAUUCUGAAAACUUUGGAGAGUUUAAUGCUUGUAGGUAUAUAUGAUGAAAAGAUCUCUGAAAAGUUUGUAGGGGCUUUGGAGAAAUUAAGUUAUGUCCAGAUACUUAAGUUAUCAGCAAUGCCCUUUAAUGUUGACAGUUUGCUAUCCAGUGUCCAAAAUUUCAUCCAUCUUCGCUAUUUAGAACUGAGGUACAGUUCAGACCAGCACAGACCUUUGCCUGAGGCUAUAUGUAAGCUCUACCACCUAAUAGUAUUGGACAUCACACAUUGGAGUGGUCUAAGUGAUUUGCCUAAGUCUAUCAGUAAUCUCUUGAACCUACAAUAUCUGCUUGUUCCGGGGUCAGGAUCAUUGCACUCGAAGAUAUCAAGAGUUGGAGAACUUAAGCUUCUACAAGAGCUGCAUGAAUUUCAGGUUCAAAAAGGGAGUGACUUCAAUAUUUCGCAGCUGGAACACUUACAGGAGAUCAAAGGGUCGCUUAGUAUCCUUGGUCUUGAGAAUGUCAAAGAUAAGGCAGAGGCCAGCGGUGCAAGGAUUGAAGAUAAGGAACAUCUAAGGACACUGUCACUCUCAUGGGGAGAAAAUAAUGAUGUUCAGAAAGAAGUGAUCGAGGGUCUUCAACCACAUGGUGACCUUGCGCAUCUUCUUGUCAUAAACUACGCCGGUGCUACUCCAACAUGGUUGGGACGAAAUUUCUCACUCGGCAAUUUGGAAAGCCUCCAACUCCAAGACUGUACAGCAAUGAAAACCCUGCCACCAUUUGAGGAGCUGCCAUACCUGAAGAAACUAUCCUUGAUUGGUAUGUCCUCCCUGAAGGAUGUUAAGAUUGACUUCAAUUGUUCUGAGCUAAGUGAAGUUGAAAUAAUGACGUGUUCAGCUUUAACAACCAUAAGGCUCCACUCAUGCAAGGCAUUGACCAACUUAACCAUCAAAGAUUGUGGGGCACUAUCUUGCUUGAAAGGCUUGCCAUCCUCUGGUCAGGUGGAGUAUAAUAUCAAAGGAUGCCCUCAACUUCAAGCUGAUACCAUCUCCAGUUGA
rnacentral:rRNA from 1 species